rnacentral:rRNA from 1 species
UACGUAGGUGGCAAGCGUUGUCCGGAAUUAUUGGGCGUAAAGCGCGCGCAGGCGGUCCUUUAAGUCUGAUGUGAAAGCCCACGGCUCAACCGUGGAGGGUCAUUGGAAACUGGGGGACUUGAGUGCAGAAGAGGAAAGCGGAAUUCCACGUGUAGCGGUGAAAUGCGUAGAGAUGUGGAGGAACACCAGUGGCGAAGGCGGCUUUCUGGUCUGUAACUGACGCUGAGGCGCGAAGGCGUGGGGAGCAAACAGG